UGAGACAAGAAGAAGCACCCGCUUCUCACCUGAUCGACGCUCAAUGAGCAGUUGGCAGGUUCAAUUUCCCUGCUUUUCAGUAGGGCUACGUGUGGGUGCAGUUAUGUACCCGCACUUUUUUGUGUAA
rfam:Salimicrobium jeotgali strain MJ3 Contig4, whole genome shotgun sequence.